CUGGCUCAGGACGAACGCUGGCGGCGUGCCUAACACAUGCAAGUCGAGCGAGGAGAUCCUUCGGGAUGAUCCUAGCGGCGGACGGGUGAGUAACACGUGGGCAACCUGCCUCAUAGAGAGGAAUAGCCUUCCGAAAGGGAGAUUAAUACCUCAUAACAUUGCAGUUUCGCAUGGAACAGCAAUUAAAGGAGUAAUCCGCUAUGAGAUGGGCCCGCGGCGCAUUAGCUAGUUGGUGAGGUAACGGCUCACCAAGGCGACGAUGCGUAGCCGACCUGAGAGGGUGAUCGGCCACAUUGGGACUGAGACACGGCCCAGACUCCUACGGGAGGCAGCAGUGGGGAAUAUUGCACAAUGGGGGAAACCCUGAUGCCAGCAACGCCGCGUGAGUGAUGACGGCCUUCGGGUUGUAAAGCUCUGUCUUCAGGGACGAUAAUGACGGUACCUGAGGAGGAAGCCACGGCUAACUACGUGCCAGCCGCCGC
rnacentral:rRNA from 1 species